AGAUCAUUACCGAGUGAGGGCCCUCUGGGUCCAACCUCCCACCCGUGUUUAUUUUACCUUGUUGCUUCGGCGGGCCCGCCUUAACUGGCCGCCGGGGGGCUUACGCCCCCGGGCCCGCGCCCGCCGAAGACACCCUCGAACUCUGUCUGAAGAUUGAAGUCUGAGUGAAAAUAUAAAUUAUUUAAAACUUUCAACAACGGAUCUCUUGGUUCCGGCAUCGAUGAAGAACGCAGCGAAAUGCGAUACGUAAUGUGAAUUGCAAAUUCAGUGAAUCAUCGAGUCUUUGAACGCACAUUGCGCCCCCUGGUAUUCCGGGGGGCAUGCCUGUCCGAGCGUCAUUGCUGCCCUCAAGCCCGGCUUGUGUGUUGGGCCCCGUCCCCCGAUCUCCGGGGGACGGGCCCGAAAGGCAGCGGCGGCACCGCGUCCGGUCCUCGAGCGUAUGGGGCUUUGUCACCCGCUCUGUAGGCCCGGCCGGCGCUUGCCGAUCAACCCAAAUUUUUAUCCAGGUUGACCUCGGAUCAGGUAGGGAUACCCGCUGAACUUAAGCAUAUCAAUAAGCGGAGGAA
rnacentral:rRNA from 1 species